GGUCUGGUGGUCUAGUGGUAUGAUUCUCGCUUAGGGUAACACCCGAAGCAUUAGUUUGCGAGAGGUCCCGGGUUCAAUCCCCGGCCAGACCC
rnacentral:tRNA from 1 species